rnacentral:misc_RNA from 1 species
CAGAGGCGCCAUUGGGAUACUUCAUAUUGUCGGAAGGGCAGAUCACAGUGCACUACUGUUGCAAAUGAGCCUUUAAAUCUUUUCAACAUGUUCAAGGGGCUUGCAGCAUUGAAUGCAAGAGCAACUUCUUUGAACCUUCUGCAUGAUGAUGUGGAAAUGCUAGGGUACGCUGAGCAGGAGAUGCAGCUCAAGAGGGAUAUGUUGUCAUCUCUCCUAUGGAAAUACAAGCAUACAAGCUGGAGUUGCGGCCACACCAGUGAGCACAAAAUGUUUUUACUUUGGGUAUUGUAUCUUUGUGGAUAAUGAUGGUAUGGGUUAGUGGCAAAGCAACAGUGAUUUUUUAUAUACCAUUGUCAUUUGUCAACAUAACCCGAGCUUAAACUUCAAGAAUAAUUGACUGUCUGAUGCUAUCUCAUGCAAUAUCUGACCAAGUCAAGGACAUAGCAGAGGCUGACUCUUUAUGGAGGAUUCAAGACUUCAUUUUUGAGUACUAUAGAAGGUAUUGGUACAUAUUUUGUAUACAAGUACUGUUAUUACGUGAAGGAGGUUAUAUUAUGGGAAACUGCUGUUUUCCAGCAAGAAGCAUAGAUUAUCAACCUUUGAUGAUAUUUGAAUUUUGCCCCAUUUUGCUGGUAGCAUGGGUUCAUGGUAAUAUAUUUUUGGAGAGGAAUAUUUUUCCAGGUAAUAUGAAGUGAUUAGGUGCUGAGAGUAACCCUUAA